GACGAACGCUGGCGGCGUGCCUAAUACAUGCCAGUAGAACGCACAGUUUAUACCGUAGCUUGCUACACCAUAGACUGUGAGUUGCGAACGGGUGAGUAACGCGUAGGUAACCUGCCUGGUAGCGGGGGAUAACUAUUGGAAACGAUAGCUAAUACCGCAUAAUAUUGAUUAUUGCAUGAUAAUUGAUUGAAAGAUGCUAUUGCAUCACUACCAGAUGGACCUGCGUUGUAUUAGCUAGUAGGUGAGGUAACGGCUCACCUAGGCGACGAUACAUAGCCGACCUGAGAGGGUGAUCGGCCACACUGGGACUGAGACACGGCCCAGACUCCUACGGGAGGCAGCAGUAGGGAAUCUUCGGCAAUGGACGAAAGUCUGACCGAGCAACGCCGCGUGAGUGAAGAAGGUUUUCGGAUCGGAAAGCUCUGUUGUAAGAGAAGAACGGGUGUGAGAGUGGAAAGUUCACACUGUGACGGUAUCUUACCAGAAAGGGACGGCUAACUACGUG
rnacentral:rRNA from 1 species